rnacentral:rRNA from 1 species
GACGAACGCUGGCGGCGUGGAUUAGGCAUGCAAGUCGAACGGUAUCAUCCUUUCGGGGGUGAGAGAGUGGCGAACUGGUGAGUAACACGUAGGUUAUCUACCCUCAAGACGGGGACAACCCAGGGAAACUUGGGCUAAUACCGGAUGUGAGCAACUUUUAGUUGUUUGAAAGGUGGCGUAAGCUGUCGCUUGGGGAUGAGCCUGCGUCCUAUUAGUUAGUUGGUGAGGUAACGGCUCACCUAGGCAAUGAUAGGUAGGCGGCCUUAACGGGUGGUCGCCCACACUGGGAUUGAGAUACGGCCCAGACUCCUACGGGAGGCAGCAGUCGAGAAUAGUCUACAAUGGUCGGAAGACUGAUAGUGCGACGCCGCGUGAACGAUGAAUCCCUUCGGGGUGUAAAGUUCUUUUAUAUGUGAGCAGUGCUUCUUAUAUUAACAGUAUGGGGAGAGGAGAUAUUAGCAUAUGAAUAAGCAACGGCUAACUCCGUGCCAGCAGCCGCGGU